CCCUUAGACGUUCUGGGCCGCACGCGCGCUACACUGACCAGUGCAACAAGCAUCCGUCAUUGGCCGACAGGCCCGGGCAAUCUUUGAACGCUGGUCGUGAUGGGGAUAGACUUUUGCAAUUUUUGGUCUUCAACGAGGAAUUCCUAGUAAACGCAAGUCAUCAACUUGCAUUGAUUACGUCCCUGCCCUUUGUACACACCGCCCGUCGCACCUACCGAUUGAAUGGUCCGGUGAAGCCUCCGGAUUGGCGCGCACCUCGGUGCCGCCGAGAAGUUGGCUAAACCUUACCAUUUAGAGGAAGGUGAAGUCGUAACA
rnacentral:rRNA from 1 species